GGUUAAGCGACUAAGCGUACACGGUGGAUGCCCUGGCAGUCAGAGGCGAUGAAGGACGUGCUAAUCUGCGAUAAGCGCCGGUAAGGUGAUAUGAACCGUUAUAACCGGCGAUUUCCGAAUGGGGAAACCCAGUGUGAUUCGUCACACUAUCAUUAACUGAAUCCAUAGGUUAAUGAGGCGAACCGGGGGAACUGAAACAUCUAAGUACCCCGAGGAAAAGAAAUCAACCGAGAUUCCCCCAGUAGCGGCGAGCGAACGGGGAGGAGCCCAGAGCCUGAAUCAGCAUGUGUGUUAGUGGAAGCGUCUGGAAAGGCGCGCGAUACAGGGUGACAGCCCCGUACACAAAAGCGCAUGUGCUGUGAGCUCGAUGAGUAGGGCGGGACACGUGGUAUCCUGUCUGAAUAUGGGGGGACCAUCCUCCAAGGCUAAAUACUCCUGACUGACCGAUAGUGAACCAGUACCGUGAGGGAAAGGCGAAAAGAACCCCGGCGAGGGGAGUGAAAAAGAACCUGAAACCGUGUACGUACAAGCAGUGGGAGCACAGGUUUACCUGUGUGACUGCGUACCUUUUGUAUAAUGGGUCAGCGACUUAUAUUCUGUAGCAAGGUUAACCGAAUAGGGGAGCCGGAGGGAAACCGAGUCUUAAUUGGGCGUUAAGUUGCAGGGUAUAGACCCGAAACCCGGUGAUCUAGCCAUGGGCAGGUUGAAGGUUGGGUAACACUAACUGGAGGACCGAACCGACUAAUGUUGAAAAAUUAGCGGAUGACCUGUGGCUGGGGGUGAAAGGCCAAUCAAACCGGGAGAUAGCUGGUUCUCCCCGAAAGCUAUUUAGGUAGCGCCUCGUGAAUUCAUCUCCGGGGGUAGAGCACUGUUUCGGCUAGGGGGCCAUCCCGGCUUACCAACCCGAUGCAAACUGCGAAUACCGGAGAAUGUUAUCACGGGAGACACACGGCGGGUGCUAACGUCCGUCGUGAAGAGGGAAACAACCCAGACCGCCAGCUAAGGUCCCAAAGUCAUGGUUAAGUGGGAAACGAUGUGGGAAGGCCCAGACAGCCAGGAUGUUGGCUUAGAAGCAGCCAUCAUUUAAAGAAAGCGUAAUAGCUCACUGGUCGAGUCGGCCUGCGCGGAAGAUGUAACGGGGCUAAACCAUGCACCGAAGCUGCGGCAGCGACACUGUGUGUUGUUGGGUAGGGGAGCGUUCUGUAAGCCUGCGAAGGUGGCCUGUGAGGGUUGCUGGAGGUAUCAGAAGUGCGAAUGCUGACAUAAGUAACGAUAAAGCGGGUGAAAAGCCCGCUCGCCGGAAGACCAAGGGUUCCUGUCCAACGUUAAUCGGGGCAGGGUGAGUCGACCCCUAAGGCGAGGCCGAAAGGCGUAGUCGAUGGGAAACGGGUUAAUAUUCCCGUACUUGGUGUUACUGCGAAGGGGGGACGGAGAAGGCUAUGUUGGCCGGGCGACGGUUGUCCCGGUUUAAGCGUGUAGGCUGGUUUUCCAGGCAAAUCCGGAAAAUCAAGGCUGAGGCGUGACGACGAGGCACUACGGUGCUGAAGCAACAAAUGCCCUGCUUCCAGGAAAAGCCUCUAAGCAUCAGGUAACAUCAAAUCGUACCCCAAACCGACACAGGUGGUCAGGUAGAGAAUACCAAGGCGCUUGAGAGAACUCGGGUGAAGGAACUAGGCAAAAUGGUGCCGUAACUUCGGGAGAAGGCACGCUGACACGUAGGUGAAGUGAUUUACUCAUGGAGCUGAAGUCAGUCGAAGAUACCAGCUGGCUGCAACUGUUUAUUAAAAACACAGCACUGUGCAAACACGAAAGUGGACGUAUACGGUGUGACGCCUGCCCGGUGCCGGAAGGUUAAUUGAUGGGGUCAGCGCAAGCGAAGCUCCUGAUCGAAGCCCCGGUAAACGGCGGCCGUAACUAUAACGGUCCUAAGGUAGCGAAAUUCCUUGUCGGGUAAGUUCCGACCUGCACGAAUGGCGUAAUGAUGGCCAGGCUGUCUCCACCCGAGACUCAGUGAAAUUGAACUCGCUGUGAAGAUGCAGUGUACCCGCGGCAAGACGGAAAGACCCCGUGAACCUUUACUAUAGCUUGACACUGAACAUUGAGCCUUGAUGUGUAGGAUAGGUGGGAGGCUUUGAAGUGUGGACGCCAGUCUGCAUGGAGCCGACCUUGAAAUACCACCCUUUAAUGUUUGAUGUUCUAACGUGGACCCGUAAUCCGGGUUGCGGACAGUGUCUGGUGGGUAGUUUGACUGGGGCGGUCUCCUCCUAAAGAGUAACGGAGGAGCACGAAGGUUGGCUAAUCCUGGUCGGACAUCAGGAGGUUAGUGCAAUGGCAUAAGCCAGCUUGACUGCGAGCGUGACGGCGCGAGCAGGUGCGAAAGCAGGUCAUAGUGAUCCGGUGGUUCUGAAUGGAAGGGCCAUCGCUCAACGGAUAAAAGGUACUCCGGGGAUAACAGGCUGAUACCGCCCAAGAGUUCAUAUCGACGGCGGUGUUUGGCACCUCGAUGUCGGCUCAUCACAUCCUGGGGCUGAAGUAGGUCCCAAGGGUAUGGCUGUUCGCCAUUUAAAGUGGUACGCGAGCUGGGUUUAGAACGUCGUGAGACAGUUCGGUCCCUAUCUGCCGUGGGCGCUGGAGAACUGAGGGGGGCUGCUCCUAGUACGAGAGGACCGGAGUGGACGCAUCACUGGUGUUCGGGUUGUCAUGCCAAUGGCACUGCCCGGUAGCUAAAUGCGGAAGAGAUAAGUGCUGAAAGCAUCUAAGCACGAAACUUGCCCCGAGAUGAGUUCUCCCUGAGACUUAGAGUCUCCUGAAGGAACGUUGAAGACGACGACGUUGAUAGGCCGGGUGUGUAAGCGCAGCGAUGCGUUGAGCUAACCGGUACUAAUGAACCGUGAGGCUUAACCUU
rnacentral:rRNA from 1 species